rnacentral:rRNA from 1 species
CAGUAGCCGCGGUAAUACGAAGGGUGCAAGCGUUAAUCGGAAUUACUGGGCGUAAAGCGCGCGUAGGUGGUUCAUUAAGUUGGAUGUGAAAGCCCUGGGCUCAACCUGGGAACUGCAUCCAAAACUGGUGAGCUAGAGUACGGUAGAGGGUAGUGGAAUUUCCUGUGUAGCGGUGAAAUGCGUAGAUAUAGGAAGGAACACCAGUGGCGAAGGCGACUACCUGGACUGAUACUGACACUGAGGUGCGAAAGCGUGGGGAGCAAACAGGAUUAGAUACCCGGGUAGUCCCUGUCUCUUAUAC